UGGGGAAUAUUGCGCAAUGGGGGGAACCCUGACGCAGCCAUGCCGCGUGAAUGAAGAAGGCCUUAGGGUUGUAAAGUUCUUUCGGUAUUGAGGAAGGUUGAUGUGUUAAUAGCACAUCAAAUUGACGUUAAAUACAGAAGAAGCACCGGCUAACUCCGUGCCAGCAGCCGCGGUAAUACGGAGGGUGCGAGCGUUAAUCGGAAUAACUGGGCGUAAAGGGCACGCAGGCGGUUAUUUAAGUGAGGUGUGAAAGCCCCGGGCUUAACCUGGGAAUUGCAUUUCAGACUGGGUAACUAGAGUACUUUAGGGAGGGGUAGAAUUCCACGUGUAGCGGUGAAAUGCGUAGAGAUGUGGAGGAAUACCGAAGGCGAAGGCAGCCCCUUGGGAAUGUACUGACGCUCAUGUGCGAAAGCGUGGGGAGCAAACAGGAUUAGAUACCCUGGUAGUCCACGCUGUAAACGCUGUCGAUUUGGGGGUUGGGGUUUAACUCUGGCGCCCGUAGCUAACGUGAUAAAUCGACCGCCUGGGGAGUACGGCCGCAAGGCUA
rnacentral:rRNA from 1 species